rnacentral:lncRNA from 1 species
AUGAGGCACAAUCUCUCCUUCCCUGGCCACGUUGCCUCUGGCCACAUCUCCUCCCAACAUCACACCGUGUUAUCCCCACAGCACGUCACCUCUGCGCAACUCCCUCCUGGCCACAUCACCUCUGGCCUCACUGCCUGCCUCCCUCCCUCCUGGUGGCCUCCGUGGCUCCUGCUGUCUACCCUCCCGUGGGUGUUUUCGAGGCUCUUUCCCCAUUUUCUGCUCCUGAGUGGGUCUCGGGGCCUGGAUGUUUCACAGGAUGCAAGUUUCUUCCCUUCCAGCCACGGGUCUCUGAGCGACAAGUCCAGAGAGGGCACUAAGCUCUCCUUACCCACCUGGGGGCCCCGAGCCCUGACCGCCGACCACCAGGGCUUUUCUGUAGGGUGUGGGGCAGAGUCAUGUGUGAAUUGGGCUAAAAAGGUGCUUCCAGGAAUCCUUGUUUUAAGUGCACUGGAGCAGAGCUGGGGAGCGGGGACCACCUGGUUUGCUCAGAAUUUGGUCCUGAUCACAGCCGAUGAGUCAACAUAAGUACCUCCUGAAUGAAGCAUUCCACAGACUGAUUUUACACAUGACGGUUGUGAUGGCUGGAAAAGGCUUCACACAAUGAGAGAGUUUGAGCUGCAUUUGAAGGAAGAACAGGUCCCUGUAGGUGGAAAUGAAAGAUAAGGGUGAUCCAAGCCCUCAGCAGCAGCGGGGUUGGGGUGGUGCGGACUCCCCAUGGAUGGUGGGCAUGGCUGAAAUGCAGGAGAGGGCAGGGGUGCGAAGCAACAGCAGGGCGGCAUUAAAAUUCCCCUGCAGAGAGGGGACGUGACUGAGAUACUAUCACAUGUAUACAACUGAGAGAUGAUUUGAGAAUGAUUUCUGGGAGCCUGUGGGAAGAGCACGUGGUCAUCAUCAGUUCUCGGGAUCUCUUUAUGAAGUGAAAGAGCCGUGCCUCUGCCUAUCUUGUGAGCUGUUAAGAUCAAAUCGGAUAAUCUUCAGUGAGCCUUGUAAAUGCUAAAGCUUAUGACAGGCUGUUCCAUCCCCCUUGUCUUCACCCUCCUUUCCUCCUCGGAAACGUGAACCCUGCUGGGUACCUCAUUAUCUGCCUGGCUUCCUCAUCCAUAACGUGAGCCCUGAGUACUUGCUGGGUAUCUCGCUGUUCACCUUCCUUCCUCAGUAACAUGAACCCUGAGUAUUUGCUGGGUACCUCGCUGCCUGCCGUACAGCUGGUUGUAUCCGUCUCAAACGCACUUAGCUGGCACAUAAGCAGAAGUGCUCGCCGGGCUUUGGGAGGGCUUUCUGACAUGUGGGUGCCUGCUUUUCCCUGUUAGGCUGGAGCUGCAGGAGCCCUCCUAGACCAGACAGAGGACCAAGGCUGUGGCCUCGGGGUGGGGGCUGGGGGAGUUCGCUGGGUUUAUUGUGUGGGUGAGAGCAAACUUCAGUCCCACUGCGGCAUCGGGAUUCAGGGUUCCUUCUGGAAUGUUCUGAGUGAGAAACAGGAAGUGUGCACAGGUGCGUCUUCUGCGGAUUUUAUGGUUAUCUUGAGAGAGAGCACUGGUGCCUCUGAGCUAUGAACCUGCAGAACCACUUCUUCCACUAACGGUCGCCUUUAUAGAAAGAAUGACUUGCAAACGAUGCCACUUCAGAUGGAGGUAUUUGCAGGUGUGGCCUGAAAAAUGAACAAAAUGACUCAUCUCAAGGAAAGUACCUUACAUUAUUCCCAAUGAUAGACAUUUGGCUUUCCAGCGAAUAUUAAAAUAUAAAAAUCUUGUGUCCACCACUUUCUCAUGUGAUCAAUGGUGAUACUGAUGUGGUUUUUUUUUGACAUAUAAUGUGGAAGCUGCUCAUAACUCUGAACCAGUGUUUUCUAACCAAUGUGUGAUUAUAAAAUCGUGUGCUGGGAAAAGCCAUUCAAGUGCAAGACGGACCAGUCGACUUAGAAGGAAUUGGGGCAGAAAGGCCCGUCGACCAGAGCACAGACUCUGUUGCAGACAGCCUGUACGGAAGUGCCACUUGUUACAUUUGGCAGCAGAGAAUACCUAAAAUGAUCUGAAAACACAAUGAAAAUACUGCUUCCUAAUUGUAUAUCAGUAUGGGGUCGGACUUUCUUCAUAAACUUCAGCCACGGCUCUGCAGCCCACUGAACGCAGAUGCAGGCAUGAGAAUCCUGCUGUCUGAGGUGCAGAGAUGUUAGGUGUUUUCACAGCAGCACAAACUGUUGCCACGCUGCUGCUUAUUUUGGAAAAUGGUUUCUUCUUUAAGACUGUGUUAAGAUGUAAUGACUUUAUCAUUGUAAAAUGAACUAAAUUUUUUUUUUUUUUUUUUUUUUUGAGACGGAGUCUUGCUCUGCCACGCAGGCCGGAGUGCGGUGGUGUGACCUCAGCUCACUUCAACCUCUGCCUCCUGAGUUCAAGCGAUUCUCCUGCCUCAGCCUCCCUAGUAGCUGGUACUACAGGUGUUCGCACCAUGCCAGGCUAAUUUUUGUAUUUUAGUAGAGACGGGUUUCACCAUGUUGGCCAGGCCGGUCUCGAACUCCUGACCUCAAGUGAUCCACCUGCCUCUGCCUCCCAAAGUGCUGGGAUUACAGGCAUGAGCAGCCACCACUCCCGGCCUGAUGAGAAAGCUUUUUUGUGCUCUUUAAUAAAGUGCAAAGGGUUCCUGAGACCCAAAAGUUUGAAAACCACUGGCUUAAACCGACAAAAUUGUCCACGAUUCUUCAGUGUAUCUUCUAAUCUGUUGAUUGGAGAAAGGACGGAAGGGUUGCUUUACUUUUUUCCUUUCACAACUCAAUGGUGCUGGGACAACUGGGGUAUCCACAUGGAAAAGGAUGGACUGGACCCUUCCUCACCGUAUAAGCAAAGCUCAACAUGGAUCCAACGUAAGGAGCUGACUGAGACCCAUUCUGUCAGUCUGCUGGGUACCAUAACGGACACCACAGACCGUGCGACUUAGACAAUAGCAUCUUAUUUCCUUUUUCCUGGAGACUGGAAGCCUGGGAUCAAGGUGCGGGCAGGGUUGGAUUCUCUGGGGCCUCACCCCAUGCUGUGUAGACAGCAUCUUCUCUGUGUCCUCACAGGUUUCUCUUAUGUGCAUGCAGCACUGAGGACUGUAUGUCUAAAUUCUCUUAAAAGAACACCAGUCAUACUGGAUCAGGGCCUACUUUUAAGAUCUUAUGGGACCUAAAUUGCCAAGUUAAAGGCCCUGUAUGUAAAUACAGUGACAUUUUGAGUUUCUGGGGUUGUGACUUUAACAUGGAAUCUUGGGGGAGGGGGACAGUUCAGCCAUAACACCUUUAGGGGAGAAUCCUGGAGAAACUGUUAGGUUGGAUUAGGCAAUGUUUCCUUGGCUGAGACGUCUAAAGCUAUAACAAGCAACUGAAGGGAAAAAGACGGUAUCAAAAUUAAAAAUGUUCAUUUCAGAGGAUACUAUUAAAGUAAAAAGACAACCCACAGAACAGGAUACAUUAUCACGAUAAGGACCUGAUAUCAAGAAUAUAUUUUAAAGCUCUUAAUAAAAAUCCAAUUUAAAAAUGGAAAAAGGAUUUGAAUAGACAUUCUCCAGAGAAAGACAUAUAAAUGCCUUAAAAAGCACGUGAGAUGUUUAGCAGAAUUCGUCAUCUUAGAAAUGGAAAUCAAAACCACUGAGAUACCACUUCACAACCACUGGAUGGGUAAAACCCCAGUAUUGGACAGUGACAUGGUGGUGAAUUGGGGAAAACUGAAAUCUUGAUAUAUUGCUAGUGGGAGGGGAAGUAAAAUGGUACAGUUGAUUUGGAAAAGUCUGGCAGUUCCUCAGAAAAGCAUGAAAUCACCAUACGACCCAGCAAUUUCACUCCUAGCCAUAUGCCAAGAAAAUGAAAACAUUUUUCCAAAAAAUAUGUCAUGCCAGAAUCUUCAUAGCAGCAUUAUUCUAGUAGUAGAAACAGUCCAGGUGUCUGUCAACAGGUCACUCACUGGAGAUUCCACUCACCUUGACGUGAAAGAUGUCAGCACCGAAGGUCACCCAAAGGUCAUGCACUGUACGAUUCUCCUCACAACAGGUGUCCAGAAUGGGCAAAUCCAGAGAAAAGGAAGUCGGCUGGUGAUUGCCAGGGGCUGGUGAAGGAAGGAGCCAGGUGCUGACUCUUAAUGGGUUCAAGGUUUCUUUGGCCUGUGGUGAAAAAGUCCCGGAAUUACAUACUAGUGGUUGAUGUGCAGCUUUUAGAAUAUGCUAAAAAGACUGAAUUGUAUCUUUAAUAUUGGGGCUUUUGUGCUUUGUAAAUUCU